AUGAACGCUGGCGGCGUGCCUAAUACCUGCAAGUCGAGCGAACAGACGAGGAGCUUGCUCCUCUGACGUUAGCGGCGGACGGGUGAGUAACACGUGGAUAACCUACCUAUAAGACUGGGAUAACUUCGGGAAACCGGAGCUAAUACCGGAUAAUAUAUUGAACCGCAUGGUUCAAUAGUGAAAGACGGUUUUGCUGUCACUUAUAGAUGGAUCCGCGCCGCAUUAGCUAGUUGGUAAGGUAACGGCUUACCAAGGCAACGAUGCGUAGCCGACCUGAGAGGGUGAUCGGCAACACUGGAACUGAGACACGGUCCAGACUCCUACGGGAGGCAGCAGUAGGGAAUCUUCCGCAAUGGGCGAAAGCCUGACGGAGCAACGCCGCGUGAGUGAUGAAGGUCUUCGGAUCGUAAAACUCUGUUAUUAGGGAAGAACAAAUGUGUAAGUAACUAUGCACGUCUUGACGGUACCUAAUCAGAAAGCCACGGCUAACUACGUG
rnacentral:rRNA from 1 species